rnacentral:rRNA from 1 species
UACGGAGGGAGCUAGCGUUAUUCGGAAUUACUGGGCGUAAAGCGCACGUAGGCGGCUUUGUAAGUUAGAGGUGAAAGCCUGGAGCUCAACUCCAGAAUUGCCUUUAAGACUGCAUCGCUUGAAUCCAGGAGAGGUGAGUGGAAUUCCGAGUGUAGAGGUGAAAUUCGUAGAUAUUAGGAAGAACACCGGUGGCGAAGGCGGCCCACUGGUCCGGUACUGACGCUGAGGUGCGAAAGCGUGGGGAGCAAACAGG